rnacentral:rRNA from 1 species
GAAACAUCUAAGUACCCCGAGGAAAAGAAAUCAACCGAGAUUCCCCCAGUAGCGGCGAGCGAACGGGGAGCAGCCCAGAGCCUGAAUCAGUGUGUGUGUUAGUGGAAGCGUCUGGAAAGGCGCGCGAUACAGGGUGACAGCCCCGUACACAAAAAUGCACAUACUGUGAGCUCGAUGAGUAGGGCGGGACACGUGGUAUCCUGUCUGAAUAUGGGGGGACCAUCCUCCAAGGCUAAAUACUCCUGACUGACCGAUAGUGAACCAGUACCGUGAGGGAAAGGCGAAAAGAACCCCGGCGAGGGGAGUGAAAAAGAACCUGAAACCGUGUACGUACAAGCAGUGGGAGCACGCUUCGGCGUGUGACUGCGUACCUUUUGUAUAAUGGGUCAGCGACUUAUAUUCUGUAGCAAGGUUAACCGAAUAGGGGAGCCGAAGGGAAACCGAGUCUUAACUGGGCGUUAAGUUGCAGGGUAUAGACCCGAAACCCGGUGAUCUAGCCAUGGGCAGGUUGAAGGUUGGGUAACACUAACUGGAGGACCGAACCGACUAAUGUUGAAAAAUUAGCGGAUGACUUGUGGCUGGGGGUGAAAGGCCAAUCAAACCGGGAGAUAGCUGGUUCUCCCCGAAAGCUAUUUAGGUAGCGCCUCGUGAAUUCAUCUCCGGGGGUAGAGCACUGUUUCGGCAAGGGGGUCAUCCCGACUUACCAACCCGAUGCAAACUGCGAAUACCGGAGAAUGUUAUCACGGGAGACACACGGCGGGUGCUAACGUCCGUCGUGAAGAGGGAAACAACCCAGACCGCCAGCUAAGGUCCCAAAGUCAUGGUUAAGUGGGAAACGAUGUGGGAAGGCCCAGACAGCCAGGAUGUUGGCUUAGAAGCAGCCAUCAUUUAAAGAAAGCGUAAUAGCUCACUGGUCGAGUCGGCCUGCGCGGAAGAUGUAACGGGGCUAAACCAUGCACCGAAGCUGCGGCAGCGACACUAUGUGUUGUUGGGUAGGGGAGCGUUCUGUAAGCCUGUGAAGGUGUACUGUGAGGAAUGCUGGAGGUAUCAGAAGUGCGAAUGCUGACAUAAGUAACGAUAAAGCGGGUGAAAAGCCCGCUCGCCGGAAGACCAAGGGUUCCUGUCCAACGUUAAUCGGGGCAGGGUGAGUCGACCCCUAAGGCGAGGCCGAAAGGCGUAGUCGAUGGGAAACAGGUUAAUAUUCCUGUACUUGGUGUUACUGCGAAGGGGGGACGGAGAAGGCUAUGUUGGCCGGGCGACGGUUGUCCCGGUUUAAGCGUGUAGGCUGGUUUUCCAGGCAAAUCCGGAAAAUCAAGGCUGAGGCGUGAUGACGAGGCACUACGGUGCUGAAGCAACAAAUGCCCUGCUUCCAGGAAAAGCCUCUAAGCAUCAGGUAACAUCAAAUCGUACCCCAAACCGACACAGGUGGUCAGGUAGAGAAUACCAAGGCGCUUGAGAGAACUCGGGUGAAGGAACUAGGCAAAAUGGUGCCGUAACUUCGGGAGAAGGCACGCUGAUAUGUAGGUGAAGUCCCUCGCGGAUGGAGCUGAAAUCAGUCGAAGAUACCAGCUGGCUGCAACUGUUUAUUAAAAACACAGCACUGUGCAAACACGAAAGUGGACGUAUACGGUGUGACGCCUGCCCGGUGCCGGAAGGUUAAUUGAUGGGGUUAGCGGUAACGCGAAGCUCUUGAUCGAAGCCCCGGUAAACGGCGGCCGUAACUAUAACGGUCCUAAGGUAGCGAAAUUCCUUGUCGGGUAAGUUCCGACCUGCACGAAUGGCGUAAUGAUGGCCAGGCUGUCUCCACCCGAGACUCAGUGAAAUUGAACUCGCUGUGAAGAUGCAGUGUACCCGCGGCAAGACGGAAAGACCCCGUGAACCUUUACUAUAGCUUGACACUGAACAUUGAGCCUUGAUGUGUAGGAUAGGUGGGAGGCUUUGAAGUGUGGACGCCAGUCUGCAUGGAGCCGACCUUGAAAUACCACCCUUUAAUGUUUGAUGUUCUAACGUUGACCCGUGAUCCGGGUUGCGGACAGUGUCUGGUGGGUAGUUUGACUGGGGCGGUCUCCUCCUAAAGAGUAACGGAGGAGCACGAAGGUUGGCUAAUCCUGGUCGGACAUCAGGAGGUUAGUGCAAUGGCAUAAGCCAGCUUGACUGCGAGCGUGACGGCGCGAGCAGGUGCGAAAGCAGGUCAUAGUGAUCCGGUGGUUCUGAAUGGAAGGGCCAUCGCUCAACGGAUAAAAGGUACUCCGGGGAUAACAGGCUGAUACCGCCCAAGAGUUCAUAUCGACGGCGGUGUUUGGCACCUCGAUGUCGGCUCAUCACAUCCUGGGGCUGAAGUAGGUCCCAAGGGUAUGGCUGUUCGCCAUUUAAAGUGGUACGCGAGCUGGGUUUAGAACGUCGUGAGACAGUUCGGUCCCUAUCUGCCGUGGGCGCUGGAGAACUGAGGGGGGCUGCUCCUAGUACGAGAGGACCGGAGUGGACGCAUCACUGGUGUUCGGGUUGUCAUGCCAAUGGCACUGCCCGGUAGCUAAAUGCGGAAGAGAUAAGUGCUGAAAGCAUCUAAGCACGAAACUUGCCCCGAGAUGAGUUCUCCCUGACUCCUUGAGAGUCCUGAAGGAACGUUGAAGACGACGACGUUGAUAGGCCGGGUGUGUAAGCGCAGCGAUGCGUUGAGCUAACCGGUACUAAUGAACCGUGAGGCUUAACCUU